UGGGGAAUUUUGGACAAUGGGCGAAAGCCUGAUCCAGCCAUGCCGCGUGAGUGAAGAAGGCCUUCGGGUUGUAAAGCUCUUUCAGGUGGAAAGAAAUGGCGCUGUCUAAUAUAUGGCGUUGAUGACGGUACCACCAGAAGAAGCACCGGCUAACUACGUGCCAGCAGCCGCGGUAAUACGUAGGGUGCGAGCGUUAAUCGGAAUUACUGGGCGUAAAGCGUGCGCAGGCGGUUGUGUAAGACAGGUGUGAAAUCCCCGGGCUUAACCUGGGAACUGCGCUUGUGACUGCACAGCUAGAGUACGGCAGAGGGGGGUGGAAUUCCACGUGUAGCAGUGAAAUGCGUAGAGAUGUGGAGGAACACCGAUGGCGAAGGCAGCCCCCUGGGCCUGUACUGACGCUCAUGCACGAAAGCGUGGGGAGCAAACAGGAUUAGAUACCCUGGUAGUCCACGCCCUAAACGAUGUCGACUAGUUGUUCGGAGAGGAAACUCACUGAGUAACGUAGCUAACGCGUGAAGUCGACCGCCUGGGGAGUACGGUCGCAAGAUUA
rnacentral:rRNA from 1 species